GACAGAGGUGGCAAGCGUUGUUCGGAUUUACUGGGCGUAAAGAGAGCGUAGGCGGCCGCAUAUGUCAGAUGUGAAAUCCCAGGGCUUAACCCUGGAACGGCAUUUGAAACUGUUCGACUUGAAGGCAGGAGAGGGCAGCAGAAUUCCCGGUGUAGUGGUGAAAUGCGUAGAUAUCGGGAGGAAUACCAGUGGCGAAGGCGGCUGCCUGGCCUGUUCUUGACGCUGAGGCGCGAAAGCUAGGGGAGCAAACGGG
rnacentral:rRNA from 1 species